rnacentral:rRNA from 1 species
GCUUAUCCCAUUAAAGAGUUCUUAUCAAUAAUUGGGUUUGGCACCUCGAUGUUGGCUUAGGGAAUCUCUAUGGCGCAAAAGUCAUAUAAAGAUGGUUUGUUCAACCAGUAACACCCUACAUGAGCUGAGUUCAGACCGGCGCAAGCCAGGUUAGUUUCUAUCCUCGAUAUAUAAAGUCUAUUUACAGUACGAAAGGACCUAAAUAUGUAUAAAUAUUAUAAUUAAAAAAUCAUAUAACAGUAAGUUAAUAACUAUACACAUAAACUAUU